AGCGAACGCUGGCGGCAGGCCUAACACAUGCAAGUCGAACGAAGUCUUCGGACUUAGUGGCGGACGGGUGAGUAACACGCGGGAACGUACCUUUUGGUUCGGAACAACUCAGGGAAACUUGAGCUAAUACCGGAUGAGCCCUUAGGGGGAAAGAUUUAUCGCCGAAAGAGCGGCCCGCGUUAGAUUAGCUAGUUGGUGAGGUAAAGGCUCACCAAGGCUACGAUCUAUAGCUGGUCUGAGAAGAUGAUCAGCCACACUGGGACUGAGACACGGCCCAGACUCCUACGGGAGGCAGCAGUGGGGAAUCUUGCGCAAUGGGCGAAAGCCUGACGCAGCCAUGCCGCGUGAAUGAUGAAGGUCUUAGGAUUGUAAAAUUCUUUUACCAGGGACGAUAAUGACGGUACCUGGAGAAAAAGCCCCGGCUAACUUCGUGCCAGCCGCCGCGGUAAAAC
rnacentral:rRNA from 1 species